UGGUUUGUAGGUAAAGGAGGAGUAGCUCUCAGAUUACAUAGACAUCACUGGCACCUUCAUGAGAGCACCCCAAAUUCCAAAGAGUGGGUGUCUAAUGUCCAGGGAUGUCUCACUUCAAUCCAGUGGCCAGAGGAACAGGAAUUAGCUUACUAAUAAUAAAUUAGAUUUGCUAAGUACCAUGCUAAAUUAGCACUUUGUAAGGAUUCCAACACUUAGGAAAAAAAAAAAUAUAUGAGUCUAGACUGUUUAAUUAAAACAAAACAUCAUGAGGACCCAUGGUGGGUGUUGAUACAAUGUGAUUUCUGCCUAGUGCUCUGAAUGUCAAAUUGAAGAAAUUCAAUUAAGAGCAGGUACUGCAGUAGUAACUAUGACUCUCUUAAGGUAGCCAAAUGCCUCAUCAUCUAAUUAAUGAUGUGUACGAAUGGAUGAAUGUGAUUCCCACUGUCUCUACCUACUAUCUAGUGAAACCAUAGCCAAGGGAAUGGGCUUAGUGGAAUCAGUGGGAAAGAAGAUCCUGUUGAGUGUGACUCUUGUCUGGCAUUGUAAAGAGACAUGAGAGGUGUAGAAUAUGUGGUAGGUCCCGCCAAAUUCUCUAAUAUCAUCUUAACAUAAGAUGAUGUAGCUCCAUAAAGAGUGCAACCCUUUUUCAAAUCCUUGAUUUUUUUUUCCAGAUCAAAAGGAGUGUAUGUUCUCCAUUGUUGACCUGAAGAAUCAGACUCUUCAAUAACAGGGUAUGCAUUUAUUUUAAAAUCAGAUAUAUCCUGUCCUUUUUAGCUUUAAACUAGUGCCUUUUGUAAUCUUGUCAUAGGGGGUGGACAAAGCUCCUGCAUAGGUAGUGCUGAUGGUGUCACUGCCCCUCCCCCUCUUCCUUCUCCUUCUACCCAUGCAGGGUUUAUUGAGGGGCGUAGGACAGGAGUUGGGGAAUGCCCUAAUGGCUCCUGCUGUGAAGCACCACAUUUCUUAAUUUCAUCAGA
rfam:Sarcophilus harrisii ctg7180002298880, whole genome shotgun sequence.